GACGAACGCUGGCGGCGUGCUUUACACAUGCAAGUCGAACGGAAAGGCCCUGCUUUUGUGGGGUGCUCGAGUGGCGAACGGGUGAGUAACACGUGAGUAACCUGCCCUUGACUUUGGGAUAACUUCAGGAAACUGGGGCUAAUACCGGAUAGGAGCUCCUGCUGCAUGGUGGGGGUUGGAAAGUUUCGGCGGUUGGGGAUGGACUCGCGGCUUAUCAGCUUGUUGGUGGGGUAGUGGCUUACCAAGGCUUUGACGGGUAGCCGGCCUGAGAGGGUGACCGGCCACAUUGGGACUGAGAUACGGCCCAGACUCCUACGGGAGGCAGCAGUGGGGAAUAUUGCACAAUGGGCGGAAGCCUGAUGCAGCAACGCCGCGUGCGGGAUGACGGCCUUCGGGUUGUAAACCGCUUUCGCCUGUGACGAAGCGUGAGUGACGGUAAUGGGUAAAGAAGCGCCGGCUAACUACGUG
rnacentral:rRNA from 1 species